rnacentral:rRNA from 1 species
GAUGAACGCUAGCUACAGGCUUAACACAUGCAAGUCGAGGGGAAACGACAUCGAAAGCUUGCUUUUGAUGGGCGUCGACCGGCGCACGGGUGAGUAACGCGUAUCCAACCUGCCCAUCACUUGGGAAUAACCUUGCGAAAGUAAGACUAAUACCCAAUGAUAUCCCACGAAGGCAUCGGAAUGGGAUUAAAGAUUUAUCGGUGAUGGAUGGGGAUGCGUCUGAUUAGCUUGUUGGCGGGGUAACGGCCCACCAAGGCAACGAUCAGUAGGGGUUCUGAGAGGAAGGUCCCCCACAUUGGAACUGAGACACGGUCCAAACUCCUACGGGAGGCAGCAGUGAGGAAUAUUGGUCAAUGGGCGAGAGCCUGAACCAGCCAAGUAGCGUGCAGGAAGACGGCCCUAUGGGUUGUAAACUGCUUUUAUAAGGGGAUAAAGUGGGUCACGUGUGACUUUUUGCAUGUACCUUAUGAAUAAGGACCGGCUAAUUCCGUG